GGCUCGUUGGUUAGGGGUUUGAUUCUCGCUUUGGGAGCGAGAGGCUCGUUGGUUCAAAUAGGGGACUUUGAGAUUGUCGCUUACAGUUCGAGAGGUCCGGGUUCAAAUCCAGGACAAGCCC